GAUGAUAUAGCUCAGUUGGUAGAGUGCUUGCCUAGCAUUCACAAGGCCCUGGGGUUCAAUCCCCAGCACCAUCA
rfam:Ictidomys tridecemlineatus contig090019, whole genome shotgun sequence.